ensembl:lncRNA
GGAGAUGGGCAGGACAGAGAGAGAGUAGAGUGGGUUCAGGGGAGAUGGAGGAGAUGGGCAGGACAGAGAGAGAGUAGAGUGGGUUCAGGGGAGAUGGAGGAGAUGGGCAGGACAGAGAGAGAGUAGAGUGGGUUCAGAGGAGAUGGAGGAGAUGGGCAGGACAGAGAGAGAGUAGAGUUGGGUUGGAGGAGAUGGAGGAGAUGGGCAGGACAGAGAGAGAGAGUAGAGUGGGUUCAGAGGAGAUGGAGGAGAUGGGCAGGACAGAGAGAGAGUAGAGUUGGGUUCAGAGGG